rnacentral:lncRNA from 1 species
GACUUUUUUUACUCUCUAAAAUCAAGAAAUUUCUAAAUAUUGAUCUAAGAAAAUUAUUUUAUAAUGGUUAUAUUCUCCCACUGAUAGAUUAUUGUUGUAUUAUUUGGAGUGGUUGUGCUAAAAAUGAGCUAGUUAGAAUAAUAAAAUUGCAGAAAAGGGCUGCAAGACUUAUUUUAGAUGCUGAUCCACUUUCAUCAUCAGCUCCACUGUUUAAACAGCUUGGAUGGAUGACAGUUGAGAACAGAAUCUCAUACCACAAAUCAGUUUUGAUGCAUAAAUGCCUUAAGAAUGAAGCCCCUGUAUAUCUCACUGAAAAAUUUAAAGAAAUGCCAGA